GCUUUGCAGCUGGGUAUUUUUCUCCGGUCAACCUGUAAAAAACAUAAUGGUGAACACAAUGGUGGAAAAAUCGCACAAAAUGGGCUCAUCAGAAGCGAUUUCAGGUUUUACCUGUGGCGGUGCCACCAGGCUUUACCCACAGUUUUCAGCUUAUCCGUCAUUUCUUUUACUUUGAUUUGGCAAUGGGGAUGUUUAAAAUAAAAUUCCAAGCAGAUAGAGAAUUUUUACUUUGUUUUGCGGUCGGAGGUGGCUCCGGCGCGGCAGUGGGUAACGGUCGGUUCCCUUCUCCGGUGACUGUUCUUCUUUUUUCGACGGGGGCUAGCGGCUAGGGUUUGGGUUCAGU
rnacentral:lncRNA from 1 species